rnacentral:rRNA from 1 species
UCCUACGGGAGGCAGCAGUGGGGAAUUUUCCGCAAUGGGCGAAAGCCUGACGGAGCAACGCCGCGUGAGGGAUGAAGGCCUCUGGGCUGUAAACCUCUUUUAUCAAGGAAGAAGAUCUGACGGUACUUGAUGAAUAAGCCACGGCUAAUUCCGUGCCAGCAGCCGCGGUAAUACGGGAGUGGCAAGCGUUAUCCGGAAUUAUUGGGCGUAAAGCGUCCGCAGGCGGCCCUUCAAGUCUGCUGUUAAAAAGUGGAGCUUAACUCCAUCAUGGCAGUGGAAACUGAGGGGCUUGAGUGUGGUAGGGGCAGAGGGAAUUCCCGGUGUAGCGGUGAAAUGCGUAGAUAUCGGGAAGAACACCAGUGGCGAAGGCGCUCUGCUGGGCCAUCACUGACGCUCAUGGACGAAAGCCAGGGGAGCGAAAGGGAUUAGAUACCCCUGUAGUCCUGGCCGUAAACGAUGAACACUAGGUGUCGGGGGAAUCGACCCCCUCGGUGUCGUAGCCAACGCGUUAAGUGUUCCGCCUGGGGAGUACGCACGCAAGUGUGAAACUCAAAUGAAUUGACGG